UACAGAGGUCUCAAGCGUUGUUCGGAUUCAUUGGGCGUAAAGGGUGCGUAGGUGGCGCCGUAAGUCAGGUGUGAAAUUUCGGAGCUUAACUCCGAAACUGCAUUUGAUACUGCCUUGCUUGAGGACUGGAGAGGAGACUGGAAUUUACGGUGUAGCAGUGAAAUGCGUAGAUAUCGUAAGGAAGACCAGUGGCGAAGGCGGGUCGUCUGGACAGUUCCUGACACUGAGGCACGAAGGCUAGGGGAGCAAACGGG
rnacentral:rRNA from 1 species